UGGGGAAUAUUGCACAAUGGGCGCAAGCCUGAUGCAGCCAUGCCGCGUGUGUGAAGAAGGCCUUCGGGUUGUAAAGCACUUUCAGCGAGGAGGAAGGUGGUGAGCUUAAUACGCUCAUCAAUUGACGUUACUCGCAGAAGAAGCACCGGCUAACUCCGUGCCAGCAGCCGCGGUAAUACGGAGGGUGCAAGCGUUAAUCGGAAUUACUGGGCGUAAAGCGCACGCAGGCGGUUUGUUAAGUCAGAUGUGAAAUCCCCGGGCUCAACCUGGGAACUGCAUUUGAAACUGGCAAGCUAGAGUCUCGUAGAGGGGGGUAGAAUUCCAGGUGUAGCGGUGAAAUGCGUAGAGAUCUGGAGGAAUACCGGUGGCGAAGGCGGCCCCCCUGGACGAAGACUGACGCUCAGGUGCGAAAGCGUGGGGCAGCAAACAGGAUUAGAUACCCUGGUAGUCCACGCUGUAAACGAUGUCGAUUUGGAGGUUGUGCCCUUGAGGCGUGGCUUCCGGAGCUAACGCGUUAAAUCGACCGCCUGGGGAGUACGGCCGCAAGGUUAAAACUCAAAGGAAUUG
rnacentral:rRNA from 1 species